rnacentral:rRNA from 1 species
AGAGUUUGAUCCUGGCUCAGAAUCAACGCUGGCGGCGCGCUUAACACAUGCAAGUCGCACGAGAAAGCCCGCAAGGGUGAGUAAAGUGGCGUACGGGUGAGUAACACGUGGAUCAUCUACCUUUUAGUGGGGAAUACCCCCGGGAAACUGGGGACAAUACCGCAUAAGCUCGUGAGAGGAAAGCAGCAAUGCGCUGAAAGAGGAGUCCGCGGCUGAUUAGCUAGUUGGUGAGGUAACGGCCCACCAAGGCGAAGAUCGGUAGCCGGCCUGAGAGGGCACACGGCCACACUGGCACUGAAACACGGGCCAGACUCCUACGGGAGGCAGCAGUGGGGAAUCUUGCACAAUGGAGGAAACUCUGAUGCAGCGACGCCGCGUGAGUGAUGAAGCCCCUCGGGGUGUAAAGCUCUUUCGACGGGAAAGAUGAUGACGGUACCCGAAGAAGAAGCUGCGGCUAACUACGUGCCAGCAGCCGCGGUAAUACGUAGGCAGCAAGCGUUGUUCGGAAUUACUGGGCGUAAAGAGUGUGUAGGCGGUGCUCUAAGUCUGUUGUGAAAUCUCCCGGCUUAACUGGGAGGGUGCGGCGGAAACUAGUGUGCUAGAGGGUGGGAGAGGUAAGCGGAAUUCCUGGUGUAGCGGUGAAAUGCGUAGAUAUCAGGAGGAACACCUGUGGUGUAGACAGCUUACUGGACCACUUCUGACGCUGAGACACGAAAGCGUGGGUAGCAAACAGGAUUAGAUACCCUGGUAGUCCACGCCGUAAACGUUGGGCGCUAGGUGUGGGGUCCUUCCACGGAUUUCCGUGCCGCAGCUAACGCAUUAAGCGCCCCGCCUGGGGAGUACGGCCGCAAGGCUAAAACUCAAAGGAAUUGACGG